AUUGAACGCUGGCGGCAUGCCUUACACAUGCAAGUCGAACGGUAACAGGUUAAGCUGACGAGUGGCGAACGGGUGAGUAAUGUAUCGGAACGUGCCCAGUCGUGGGGGAUAACUGCUCGAAAGAGCAGCUAAUACCGCAUACGACCUGAGGGUGAAAGCGGGGGAUCGCAAGACCUCGCGCGAUUGGAGCGGCCGAUAUCAGAUUAGGUAGUUGGGGAGGUAAAGGCUCACCAAGCCGACGAUCUGUAGCUGGCCUGAGAGGACGACCAGCCACACUGGGACUGAGACACGGCCCAGACUCCUACGGGAGGCAGCAGUGGGGAAUUUUGGACAAUGGGCGCAAGCCUGAUCCAGCCAUGCCGCGUGCGGGAAGAAGGCCUUCGGGUUGUAAACCGCUUUUGUCAGGGAAGAAAAGGUUCUGGCUAAUACCUGGGACUCAUGACGGUACCUGAAGAAUAAGCACCGGCUAACUACGUGCCAGCCGCCGCGGUAA
rnacentral:rRNA from 1 species